rnacentral:rRNA from 1 species
UUUUGAUUAAUAAUUUAAAGUUUAAUUUGCCCCCUGAUAAAUUAUUAAAGGGCUGCAGUAUUUUGACUGUACAAAGGUAGCAUAAUCAUUAGUCUCUUAAUUGGUGACUUGUAUGAAAGAUUGGAUGAAAUAUAAACUGUCUUGUUAUUAAAAAUAGAAUUUAAUUUUUUAGUUAAAAAGCUAAAAUAUAUUUAAAAGACGAGAAGACCCUAUAGAGUUUUAUAUAAUUUAUAAUUAUAAAUUUAUAUAUAAAUAUUAAAUUUAAAUUAUGUUUUAUAUUUUAUUGGGGUGAUAGAAAAAUAAAAAAAACUUUUUAUAAAUUUAAUAUUAAUUUUUAAAUUAUUAUUAAUUAAACAUUUAUAAAUGAAUAAAUGAUCCAAAAAUUUUGAUUAAAAGAUUAAAUUACCUUAGGGAUAACAGCGUAAUUUUUUUUUUUAGUUCAUAUAAAAAAAAAAGUUUGCGACCUCGAUGUUGGAUUAAAAUAAAAUUUAAAUGCAAAAGUUUAAAAUUUUGAUCUGUUCAAUCAUUAAAAUCUUA